UGGGGAAUAUUGCACAAUGGGCGCAAGCCUGAUGCAGCAACGCCGCGUGAGGGACGACGGCCUUCGGGUUGUAAACCUCUUUUAGUAGGGAAGAAGCGAAAGUGACGGUACCUGCAGAAAAAGCACCGGCUAACUACGUGCCAGCAGCCGCGGUAAUACGUAGGGUGCGAGCGUUGUCCGGAAUUAUUGGGCGUAAAGAGCUCGUAGGCGGUCUGUCGCGUCUGCUGUGAAAACCCGAGGCUCAACCUCGGGCCUGCAGUGGGUACGGGCAGACUAGAGUGCGGUAGGGGAGAAUGGAAUUCCUGGUGUAGCGGUGGAAUGCGCAGAUAUCAGGAGGAACACCGAUGGCGAAGGCAGUUCUCUGGGCCGUAACUGACGCUGAGGAGCGAAAGCGUGGGGAGCGAACAGGAUUAGAUACCCUGGUAGUCCACGCCGUAAACGUUGGGCGCUAGAUGUGGGGACCAUUCCACGGUUUCCGUGUC
rnacentral:rRNA from 1 species